rnacentral:rRNA from 1 species
UGACAGUACUCCUACGGGGAGGCAGCAGUGGGGGAAUAGUUGCACAAUGGGCGCAAGCCUGAUGCAGCCAUGCCGCGUGUAUGAAGAAGGCCUUCGGGUUGUAAAGUACUUUCAGCAGUGAGGAAGGUGGAGUCGUUAAUAGCGGCCUCAUUUGACGUUAGCUGCAGAAGAAGCACCGGCUAACUCCGUGCCAGCAGCCGCGGUAAUACGGAGGGUGCGAGCGUUAAUCGGAAUUACUGGGCGUAAAGCGCAUGCAGGUGGUUUGUUAAGUCAGAUGUGAAAGCCCGGGGCUCAACCUCGGAAUAGCAUUUGAAACUGGCAGACUAGAGUACUGUAGAGGGGGGUAGGAAUUUCAGGUGUAGCGGUGAAAUGCGUAGAGAUCUGAAGGAAUACCGGUGGCGAAGGCGGCCCCCUGGACAGAUACUGACACUCAGAUGCGAAAGCGUGGGGAGCAAACAGGAUUAGAUACCCUGGUAG